GACGAACGCUGGCGGCGUGCUUAACACAUGCAAGUCGAACGGAAAGGCCCUGCUUUUGUGGGGUGCUCGAGUGGCGAACGGGUGUGUAACACGAGAGUAACCUGCCCUUGACUUUGGGAUAACUUCAGGAAACUGGGGCUAAUACCGGAUAGGAGCUCCUGCUGAAUGGAGGGGGAUGGAAAGUUUCGGCGGUUGGGGAUGGACUCGCGGCUUAUCAGCUUGUUGGUGGGGUAGUGGCUUACCAAGGCUUUGACGGGUAGCCGGCCUGAGAGGGUGACCGGCCACAUUGGGACUGAGGUACGGCCCAUACUCCUACGGGAGGCAGCAGUGGGGAAUAAUGCACAAUGGGCGGAAGCCUGAUGCAGCAACGCCGCGUGCGGGAUGACGGCCUUCGGGUUGUAAACCGCGUUCUCCUGUGACGAAGCGUGAGUGACGGUAAUGGGUAAAGAAGCACCGGCUAACUACGUG
rnacentral:rRNA from 1 species